rnacentral:lncRNA from 1 species
GAGGUUUGUCCUGUUUUGUAAUAAUUGGGCACGAUUUGGCCCAUUAAUGGCGUAAUGGAGAACGGGACCGGAUCAGACCGGAAUCGGAGAGUUGUCACGGUCGAUCGGACCUGUUAGAGUGGUUGAACCGCCGGCUGUGGUGGACCUGGAGUCCGUGGAUGGUAAGUGCAUUUAUUACCGAAUGAACCGGCGGUCAGGGAGAGCCAUACGUUCUGAUGGUUCAGUGAUCCGGAGAUCGUCUUGGGCCGUGUUCAUUAAAUGACUGAGUGCAUCGGAGACUUGAGAGAGUCUCGUGCAUUAAUGGCAGGUCGUGCCGAAUACCUGCGAAGAUCUU